rnacentral:lncRNA from 1 species
GUAUAAAAUACAUGCUUCAAAACUGUAAAUUGUCAUGCCAUAAUUAAACAGUACAGCAAGGGAGUUUUUCGCUAAAAGACCCAAGCUUACUAAAUUCAUUUGUGAUUCUUAAAGUUCGACUGCAGUCUAAGUUCUCUUGUAAUCUAUCAUAUCUGGAACUUUGUGCCGGAGAGGUGGCCACCUCUCACGGUCACUUGACCGGCCAACCCGCUAGAUGACUCACGGUCACUGGUGUACACUAGCCCUGGCAGGAUAGCUAUCAACUGCUCAGGACCCGAAUUCGAUUGCAUAAUAAAAGUCACAUCAGAUAGAUAUCAUACUGAAAUUUAAAUAUUUUAUGGCAAGACAAUAUUUGAAAUAACUUCAAUUAAUUUAAUCAUGAGAUAACUUGCUUGAACGUAACAUUUAAACUCAUUUGAUAUAUAUGAAAGUAAUGCCCACCUGAUAGCAAAGCUUUGCUACAGAUUAGUAACUCCUUGACGAGCUCUUAUUCUUGCGCUCGACCUUUAAUCCGAGAAAAUAACGUAAGACUUUAAAUCGAGGGAAAAUUCUCAAUUAAAUGAGAAUGCAUAAUUUAACUAUGCAUGAACCUCGUAUGCAUGAACUAUUAUUCUAAGAUAAUAAUCAGGGAAUUUCUAUUGUUAAUCCAGGCUAUCGGAUUUAAACAAAAGCUACGUCUCGUCUCAUGAAGCCGGAUAAUUAACUAAAAUUAAUCCGUUCUCUUCGGGGUGUUCUAAUCCGUCAAUUAAAUAAACUCCAUUCCUCGUAGUCAAUAGAAAAUAAAUAAAUACUUCAACUUAUUCGCUUUAUAACCUCAUAAUUAAUCGGGACUUAAAAAAAUAGGAACAAGUAAUGUUAUAAAAUUAAAUAAUUAAAAGGCUCAACAUAAGGCAGCCUAAUAAUUAAUUAAAUAGAAUUGGCUUGAAUAAUUAACAUGAGAGGCCCAAUUGAAAUAAUUCAUCGGCUCAAGUAAUUAAAUAAAUCUUGUCUCAAUAAAUAAAUAAUUUGAUUAGCUGGGCUCAAUUAAAUAAUUCAAACGAGGCCCAACAAAGAUAAUAUAACAGCCCAAUUAAAAUAAAAUAAAUGGGCUUCAAUUUAAAUAAAUUCGGCCCAAUGAAAUAAAAUAACCAAGGCCCAACUGAAAUGAUACAGCAGUCCAAAUAAGUGAAUAAUCAAAGGCCCAUAUAAAUAAAUUCAGAGGCCCAAUCAGUAAUUAAAAUCGGCCCAUAUCAGAGGCCCAAUCAGUAAUUAAAAUCGGCCCAUAUAAAUAAUUUCAGAGGCCCAAUUACAAUAAAAUCAAGAAAGCCCAAUUAAAAUAGAAUGCAGUUGGGCUUUCAUUAGUAAAUUCGGCCCAAAGAGAAAUAAUAAAGGCCCACAUGAAAAUAAAUACAACAAGGCCCAAUGAAUAAAUAAUUAAAGCCCAAAAAUUUGGCCCAACUCAAUUAAAAUAGGAGCCCAUUUAAACUAAGCCCAAUUUUCAUAAAUAAGGAAAGAAGCCCAAAUCCUUCUUCCCCCAAACAUCUCGGUUCUCUCUCUCUCAACAUAACAGUCGAGCUCUCUCUCUCUAUUUCUUCCUCUCGUUCCAGCCGAGGCGCUGCCGUCGCCGCUCCGAAAUCCGCAGCCGCCGUCUCGCCGUAAAGGAGCUCGGCCGCCGUCUAUCUGGUCUUCCGCCUUCGGCCUCCGCUCGAAAAAGGGCGUGGGGUAGCUUCCUCUCCAUCCCCUCGUCUGGAACAGGCGUCUGCCCUCUCCGCCAUAGGGUGCGCACGGCCGCCGUCUGUUCGCCUUCUCCGUCGUCCGUCUGGCUGGAGUCGCGGUGGAGGCCGAGCCUUCGCUCGUCCUUCUCUCCUUCCUCGAUUUAAUGGGGAAUCCCCAAGUGAGGAGCCCUAAUUCUCUCAAAUCAGAAAUCGCCGCCGCUGCUCCUGAAAUCUUCGGCGAGGUUGUCGCCUCAAACCGGCGUUGCUCCGCCUGAAAUCGCCACCGCCGUCGUGCACCGAGCCGUUGCUGCUGGAUUCGGGCGAUGGGUAUGCCGCCGCUGCUGUUACUCUGGAAUCGGCGAGAUUCGCCGCGUCGCUGGACUGUCUUGAGGCCCGCUGCCUCUCCGGCCCUUCCUUUUCGGUCCUUCGAGUUCCGACAAGCAGCAAAGUUCUGCCUCGUCGCCGUUCCGACCGAGCGGAGGUGCGUCGCUUCCGAUUCAGAGCAGGCAGUCGCCCACUCCUCACAUUAAAGCUAAGUUUCAAUUCUCCGUCUCUUUUCUUUUCGUUGCGUGAUUGAGUUUCGAUAUGAGUAUAGAUUUACUCGAGUAAGAAUCUAGUACUUAGCACUCUAUGUGUGUGAGCAUGCUAGCAAGUCUUAUAUUCGUAUUUAUGUAGCUGAGGUUUUUCUCUUUUCCAUUUGUGUGUGAAGCAUAUUGAUGUUCUAGGCUUAACUAAUCAUGCUUGAGGAUGCUAGAUGCGUAUGUUGAGAGGGUGACUGAGAUAGUGUAAAUACCUUGAUGUAUAAAUGUUGGUUGGCUGUUGUUGCUGAGUUAAAUGAGCUGGAAUGACUGAACUGAAUAGAUCGAAUGUUGUUGUUUUAGUAAUUGCAGUUGGUUAAUGGAAGGAGAUGAAAGGAGUAAAGCCAAGCUUACCUUGAAGUGGCAGAGCACCGGAUGAAUGAAAGCCAAAUCUCACCUUGGAGUUUCUGGCAGCAUCUUAGACUAAUUACUUCCCUUGGUUUGCUAGUGAUUAAGGGAGUGUUUUGGCUGAACUUGUAGGCUAGGAAGGCAAAGGGGCGAUGGAGUGCACUUGAGUGUUGAGUGGUGGUGUUGUAUGAAUGGGGAGAAAAGCAUGGUGGAGCAAAAAGAAAGUUUGUGUAAUGAUACUGAUGACUUUGUAUGUUAUUAUGAGUUGUGGACAUCAAUGUAUCAAUGUGAUUGGAAUAUUGUAUAUUUACAUAAAUCUCGAUUUCGAC